CUGGAAAAAAAGAAUGAAUGACUAUAAUUUUGGCAAUUGCAGACCUAUUCAGUGUCAUUUGAUUGAAUGAUUGAUCAGGUGGUAGAAGAGGCUUGAGCAGGCCGACUUGCCCUUCAGGAAUACUGCCUGGCCUUCAGAUUCAACCUUAUUGCUUGACACUACUUGGCCCGCUCAGUGGCGCUAUCUCGGCUCACCACAACAUCUGCCUCCUGGGUUCAAGCGAUUCUCCUGCCUCAGCCUCCUGAGUAGCUGGGAUUACAGGAACCGGGCAAAUCUAACUCAGUCUUCCUUUGAUCCACACUGGAUGAGUGAACUGCAUAGAUGGGGUUUUGCUAUGCUGCCCAUGGCUGGUCUUGAACCCCUGAGCUCAAGUGAUCCAUCAUGUGCACCACUGCCCCAGGUGAACUUUUUACAUAAAGUAUAAGAAAACAGAUUCCUCCUCUCAAUGCCUACAGGAAUCCCCUCUGAUCUUCUAACUGGUAAAGUACUAAGUUAAAAAAACCUCUUAGCCCUCUGUCUCUCCAAGUUGGGUAGUAUUAAAUAUAUGAAUCCAUUUUUAGCCUGGGCAGUAUGGUGAGACUCUGUCUCCAUACACACACACAC
rnacentral:lncRNA from 1 species